CGGCGGACGGGUGAGUAACACGUGGAUAACCUACCUAUAAGACUGGGAUAACUUCGGGAAACCGGAGCUAAUACCGGAUAAUAUUUUGAACCGCAUGGUUCAAAAGUGAAAGACGGUCUUGCUGUCACUUAUAGAUGGAUCCGCGCUGCAUUAGCUAGUUGGUAAGGUAACGGCUUACCAAGGCAACGAUGCAUAGCCGACCUGAGAGGGUGAUCGGCCACACUGGAACUGAGACACGGUCCAGACUCCUACGGGAGGCAGCAGUAGGGAAUCUUCCGCAAUGGGCGAAAGCCUGACGGAGCAACGCCGCGUGAGUGAUGAAGGUCUUCGGAUCGUAAAACUCUGUUAUUAGGGAAGAACAUAUGUGUAAGUAACUGUGCACAUCUUGACGGUACCUAAUCAGAAAGCCACGGCUAACUACGUGCCAGCAGCCGCGGUAAUACGUAGGUGGCAAGCGUUAUCCGGAAUUAUUGGGCGUAAAGCGCGCGUAGGCGGUUUUUUAAGUCUGAUGUGAAAGCCCACGGCUCAACCGUGGAGGGUCAUUGGAAACUGGAAAACUUGAGUGCAGAAGAGGAAAGUGGAAUUCCAUGUGUAGCGGUGAAAUGCGCAGAGAUAUGGAGGAACACCAGUGGCGAAGGCGACUUUCUGGUCUGUAACUGACGCUGAUGUGCGAAAGCGUGGGGAUCAAACAGGAUUAGAUACCCUGGUAGUCCACGCCGUAAACGAUGAGUGCUAAGUGUUAGGGGGUUUCCGCCCCUUAGUGCUGCAGCUAACGCAUUAAGCACUCCGCCUGGGGAGUACGACCGCAAGGUUGAAACUCAAAGGAAUUGACGGGGACCCGCACAAGCGGUGGAGCAUGUGGUUUAAUUCGAAGCAACGCGAAGAACCUUACCAAAUCUUGACAUCCUUUGACAACUCUAGAGAUAGAGCYUUCCCCUUCGGGGGACAAAGUGACAGGUGGUGCAUGGUUGUCGUCAGCUCGUGUCGUGAGAUGUUGGGUUAAGUCCCGCAACGAGCGCAACCCUUAAGCUUAGUUGCCAUCAUUAAGUUGGGCACUCUAAGUUGACUGCCGGUGACAAACCGGAGGAAGGUGGGGAUGACGUCAAAUCAUCAUGCCCCUUAUGAUUUGGGCUACACACGUGCUACAAUGGACAAUACAAAGGGCAGCGAAACCGCGAGGUCAAGCAAAUCCCAUAAAGUUGUUCUCAGUUCGGAUUGUAGUCUGCAACUCGACUACAUGAAGCUGGAAUCGCUAGUAAUCGUAGAUCAGCAUGCUACGGUGAAUACGUUCC
rnacentral:rRNA from 8 species